GUUGUUUGGUUUGUGCUGCUUUUAGAUUCCAUGGCUGCAGGAAACCAGCACCCAUUUUGACAAGGAUAAACCAUUUUGUACAAGCAGAUGAGGCAUUUAUCAGACAACAGUGAUUUCUUUUUAAUGUAGAUUAUCUUUCUCAUCCUUUCCAAUGAGAAUGCCAGUCAAGGUACACCUGGGAAUGUAAAGAAGACACUGACCUUCUAUUUCUACUUCUCUUCCUACUUGACCCUGUGUAGUCUUGGACAGGCAGAGAGGGCUGCAAUCAGGGCAUUUCAAGGAAGCUUGAAGAAAUACUUUCCCAGAACUGUGAUGUAUUUUCUUCUGCUCUCAGAAAGUUCACUUUUAUCUCUGGAAAUUUCUUCUGUCUACUCCUUUCCUCUUUUCCAAAUCUCUGUGUUAGCUUUAUGUGACUGUGACCAAAAUACCUAAUAAGAACAAUGUAGAGGAGGAAAGAUUUAUUUUGGCUUAUGGUUUCAGAGGUUCAGUGUAUGGUCAGCAGUAUUCAAGGCAGAAACAUCAUGGUGAAAAGAUGUUGCAGAGGAAAUCUGCUCAGCUCAUGACAGUGAAGAAGGAGGGACAGUAUAGCCCUAGCAGGGCACACCUUCAACAACCUACUUCCUGUGAUGACUAGGCCCCGCCUUCCAAUAUCCCUUCAAAUUAUAAUCCUUCAAAUGGAUUAAAUAAUUGAUUAAAGUCCUCACCAUUCAAUUAUUUUCUAAAAGUCCCAUUUCUGGGCACUUGAGAUUUGGCAAGGUGGGGGUGGGGAUGGGAAGGGGUGUGUGUUUCAGAUCCAUACCAUAAUCCUCUGUAUGAAACUUUCCUUCUCCAAAAAUAUCUUCUUACAGUCAUGUACUCUAAUUAUCCCUCAAAGUAUUCUGUUUGGAAUCCACAACAUGAAUCUUUAUUCAUAUGUGUAUAUAUAUUUUUUUCCUUGAACUUUUCUUUUAAUAUAAUGUGUCUAAAUCCCUAACUUGAUUUUUUAAAUCCCUCACAAGCCAGUAGUAUUGCAGAUUCUCUUCCUGCUGUGUAACGUAUGUGCUUAAUAUUCUUAUACAGUCAAUGUUCCAAAAAGUUCAAAAUUCCCUCUCCUCCUACCUCUGUUGCUUCACUGAUUUUGAAUUGCUGUCUCUGCUUACUUUUUACUCUUGAUUAUUUGGCUUCAUCACUGGUCUUUAGCUUUAGUAGGUGUUGUCUUUUAGGUUCAUAUAUUGUUAUUCAUUGCUCUAUCACUUAUCUCUCUAUAUACCAUCUUGUAUCUGUUUCUGGUCUUCAUUGGGCUUCUCAGUCUCCCUAGCUUCCUGGCUUUAGCUAACGACAUCUCCUACUAUAUUGCAAAGCUUGAUGUCCUUCAUUUCCUUUCUCCCUGACUCUGACUUCCUCUGUAACUCUCCAUCUGUUUCUGCUCCUUGAGACUCAUCCUUCGCCGAUGCCUGCCCUUCUCGUGACUCCCUGUCCUUUCAGGAAAUCUUGAGUCAUGGAUGAAUACUAUUUUCAUCUUUCCUUCCUUUGCUUAAGAUUAUGCUCAGGCCCAUCCCUGACAUACUUCUGUUAUUUUCAAAGCAAUUAACACAGGUAUUUGGUUAAUCAGUUAUUUUUUGACUCAACUAUUUAUAUCAAGACCCUACAAGUUGUUCUGUAUGUUUUGUCUCGUUUAUUGACUGGUUGUCACCUCACCUCCUUAGGUCACCAAUCUAUUCAUACCUCUAUCAGUUUCUGUAGUUGUCUCCUAGCAAUUAUCAUAACUUCAAUCAUUAUUUUACUGGUCAUUUGCCUUCCUGUCAAUUGAAUCUUUCUAUAUUGAUAAGGGUAAAAUUAAUCAUAAUAUGUAUUUUAAUUUCAGUAGAUAAGGUGAUGAAAUUUUAAUUAUAGCUCACAUAAUGUUCUGAGAUGACUCCAGAAGGGCAAGGUGCUGAUCAGCUUUCUGCAGCUGUGACCAAAAAAAAUCUAAUAAGAAUGUUUUGCAGGAAGAAACAUUCAUUAGGGACUCACAGUUUCAGAGGUUUAGUUCAUGGUCAGCUGAGCCAUUGCUCUGGACCCAAGAUGAAGCAGAACAUCAUGGCAGAAGGGUGUGGCUGUGGCAGAUGAAGGCUUCUCAGCUCAUGCAACCAGGAAAGAGAGAGAGAGAGAGAGAGAGAG
rnacentral:lncRNA from 1 species